GAUGAAGAACGCAGCGAAUUGCGAUAAGUAAUGUGAAUUGCAGAAUUACGUGAAUCAUCGAAUCUUUGAACGCAUAUUGCACUCUCUGGUAUUCCGGGGAGUAUGCCUGUUUGAGGGUCAGUAAAUAAUAAUUAUCAUAAUCUUUUGAUUGUGGAAUUGGGCCUUUAUUUCAUUUUUAAUGAUUUAUGGCCUUAAAUUUAUGUUACCGCUUGUUUAAUAUGAAAUUCGACCGAAUGGAGCAAUUAAACAUUCUCUCGUUAGGCGGAUUCAUCAAGCAAUUACGAUUUUUUGGCCGUCGAAGCACUUUUUUUUUAGAAGUGCUUGGUCGAGAUUGUAAGAUACAUUUAACAAUGACCUCAAAUCAGGCAAGAAUACCCGCUGAACUUAAGCAUAUCAAUAAGCGGAGGA
rnacentral:misc_RNA from 1 species